CUGGUUCUCCGCGAAAUCUAUUUAGGUAGAGCGUCAGACGAAUACCUUCGGGGGUAGAGCACUGAAUGGGCUAGGGGGCCUUACCGGCUUACCAAACCUAAUCAAACUCCGAAUACCGAAGAGUACUAUCUGGCAGACAGACUACGGGUGCUAAGGUCCGUGGUCGAGAGGGAAACAGCCCAGACCGCCAGUUAAGGUCCCAAAGUUGUGGCUAAGUGGGAAAGGAUGUAGGACGGCCAAGACAACCAGGACGUUGGCUUAGAAGCAGCCAUCGUUUAAAGAAAGCGUAACAGCUCACUGAUCAAGCGCCUCUGCGCGGAAAAUGUAUCGGGACUAAAGUUAUUCGCCGAAAUUGCGGACUCGAAAGAGUGGUAGCGGAGCGUUCCGUAAGCCUGUGAAGGUGAACCGUGAGGUUUGCUGGAGGUAUCGGAAGUGAGAAUGCUGACAUGAGUAGCGACAAACAGGGUGAGAGACCCUGUCGCCGAAAGACCAAGGGUUCCUGCGUAAAGCUAAUCUGCGCAGGGUUAGUCGGCCCCUAAGGCGAGGACGAAAGUCGUAGUCGAUGGGAAACAGGUUAAUAUUCCUGUACCUGGAGGUAGUGACGGAUGCCGGUAGUUGUUUACACUUAUUGGAUUGUGUAGGCCGCGUAGGUGUUCCAGGAAAUAGCUCCUCCAUUAAGACCGUACCCCAAACCGACACAGGUGGACAGGUAGAGAAUACCAAGGCGCU
rnacentral:rRNA from 1 species